rnacentral:rRNA from 1 species
GCAAAGUUGUGUAGUGCGAUCGGUGGAUGCCUUGGCACCAAGAGCCGAUGAAGGACGUUGUGACCUGCGAUAAGCCCUGGGGAGUUGGUGAGCGAGCUGUGAUCCGGGGGUGUCCGAAUGGGGAAACCUGGAAUGUCCGGAGUAGUGUCCGGUGGCCCUGCCCUGAAUGUAUAGGGGUGUGGGUGGUAACGCGGGGAAGUGAAACAUCUUAGUACC